GUUGGCUUAGAAGCAGCCACUCAUUUAAAGAGUGCGUAAUAGCUCACUAGUCGAGAGAUCCUGCGCCGAAAAUGUCCGGGGCUCAAACUUACCACCGAAGCUACGGGCUUGCGUAAGCAAGCGGUAGGGGAGCGUCGUAAUCGGGCUGAAGUCGUACCGUAAGGAGCGGUGGACUGAUUACGAGUGAGAAUGUUGGCAUUAGUAGCGAGAUGUAGGUGAGAAUCCUACAGGCCGAAUAUCUAAGGUUUCCUCAGGAAGGCUCGUCCGCUGAGGGUUAGUCGGGACCUAAGCCGAGGCCGAAAGGCGUAGGCGAUGGACAAUCGGUUGAUAUUCCGAUACCACUACCAUCGUUAUUAUCGAGGGUGUGACGGAGAAGGAUAGUGUGUGCUAGCGAUUGGAAAUGCUAGUCUAAGCGUUUAGGGAGUUACGGUAGGCAAAUCCGCUGUAACAAUUCUGAGGCGUGAUGGGGAAGGCCAUAUAGGCCGAAGUACAUGAUUCCAUGCUUCCAAGAAAAGCAUCUAGAGAGAGAAGUAGUGCCCGUACCGCAAACCGACACAGGUAGAUGAGGAGAGAAUCCUAAGGCCGGCGGAAGAAUUGCAGUUAAGGAACUAGGCAAAUUGACCCCGUAAGUUCGCGAGAAGGGGUGCCUGCGAGAGCAGGCCGCAGAGAAUAGGCCCAAGCAACUGUUUAGCAAAAACACAGGUCUCUGCUAAAGCGUAAGCUGAUGUAUAGGGGCUGACGCCUGCCCGGUGCUGGAAGGUUAAGGGGAACACUUAGCGCAAGCGAAGGUGUGAACUUAAGCCCCAGUAAACGGCGGCCGUAACUAUAACGGUCCUAAGGUAGCGAAAUUCCUUGUCAGGUAAGUUCUGACCCGCACGAAUGGCGUAAUGACUUGGGCACUGUCUCAACUGCAAAUCCGGCGAAGUUGUAGUGCGAGUGAAGAUGCUCGCUACCCGCGAUUGGACGGAAAGACCCCGUAGAGCUUUACUGUAGCUUAGCAUUGAAUUCCGGUAUUGUCUGUACAGGAUAGGUGGGAGACUGGGAAACUAGGGCGUCAGCCUUAGUGGAGUCAACCUUGGGAUACCACCCUGACAGUACUGGGGUUCUAACAGGACGCCAUGAAUCUGGUGACUGGACAUUGUUAGGUGGGCAGUUUGACUGGGGCGGUCGCCUCCUAAAAAGUAACGGAGGCGCCCAAAGGUUCCCUCAGAACGGUCGGAAAUCGUUCGUAGAGUGCAAAGGCAGAAGGGAGCCUGACUGCGAGACAUACAAGUCGAGCAGGGACGAAAGUCGGGCUUAGUGAUCCGGUGGUACCUCGUGGGAGGGCCAUCGCUCAACGGAUAAAAGCUACCUCGGGGAUAACAGGCUGAUCUCCCCCAAGAGUCCACAUCGACGGGGAGGUUUGGCACCUCGAUGUCGGCUCGUCGCAUCCUGGGGCUGUAGUAGGUCCCAAGGGUUGGGCUGUUCGCCCAUUAAAGCGGCACGCGAGCUGGGUUCAGAACGUCGUGAGACAGUUCGGUCCCUAUCCGUCGCGGGCGUAGGAAAUUUGAGAGGAGCUGUCCUUAGUACGAGAGGACCGGGAUGGACUGACCUCUGGUGCACCAGUUGUUCCGCCAGGAGCAUGGCUGGGUAGCUAAGUCGGGAAGGGAUAAACGCUGAAAGCAUCUAAGCGUGAAGCCUCCCUCAAGAUGAGAUUUCCCAUAGCAUAAGCUAGUAAGACCCCUUGAAGAACACAAGGUUGAUAGGUCAGAGGUGUAAGUGCGGUAACGUAUUUAGCUGACUGAUACUAAUAGGUCGAGGGCUUGACCAA
rnacentral:rRNA from 1 species